AUGAACGCUAGCGACAGGCUUAACACAUGCAAGUCGAGGGGCAUCAUGAGGUAGCAAUACCUUGAUGGCGACCGGCGCACGGGUGAGUAACGCGUAUGCAACCUGCCUGAUACCGGGGUAUAGCCCAUGGAAACGUGGAUUAACACCCCAUAGUACUUUUAUCCUGCAUGGGAUGUGAGUUAAAUGUUCAAGGUAUCGGAUGGGCAUGCGUCCUAUUAGUUAGUUGGCGGGGUAACAGCCCACCAAGACGAUGAUAGGUAGGGGUUCUGAGAGGAAGGUCCCCCACAUUGGAACUGAGACACGGUCCAAACUCCUACGGGAGGCAGCAGUGAGGAAUAUUGGUCAAUGGACGAGAGUCUGAACCAGCCAAGUCGCGUGAGGGAAGACUGCCCUAUGGGUUGUAAACCUCUUUUAUAAGGGAAGAAUAAGUUCUACGUGUAGAAUGAUGCCUGUACCUUAUGAAUAAGCAUCGGCUAACUCCGUGCCAGCAGCCGCGGUAAUACGGAGGAUGCGAGCGUUAUCCGGAUUUAUUGGGUUUAAAGGGUGCGUAGGCGGUUUAUUAAGUUAGUGGUUAAAUAUUUGAGCUAAACUCAAUUGUGCCAUUAAUACUGGUAAACUGGAGUACAGACGAGGUAGGCGGAAUAAGUUAAGUAGCGGUGAAAUGCAUAGAUAUAACUUAGAACUCCGAUAGCGAAGGCAGCUUACAAGACUGUAACUGACGCUGAUGCACGAGAGCGUGGGUAGCGAACAGGAUUAGAUACCCUGGUAGUCCACGCCGUAAACGAUGAGUACUAAGUGUUGGGUGUCAAAGCUCAGUGCUGCAGUUAACGCAAUAAGUACUCCGCCUGAGUAGUACGUUCGCAAGAAUGAAACUCAAAGGAAUUGACGGGGGCCCGCACAAGCGGAGGAACAUGUGGUUUAAUUCGAUGAUACGCGAGGAACCUUACCUGGGUUUAAAUGGGAAAUGUCGUAUUUGGAAACAGAUAUUCUCUUCGGAGCGUUUUUCAAGGUGCUGCAUGGUUGUCGUCAGCUCGUGUCGUGAGAUGUUGGGUUAAGUCCCGCAACGAGCGCAACCCUUAUUGCCAGUUACUACGUUAAGAGGACUCUGGCGAGACUGCCGUUGACAAAACGGAGGAAGGUGGGGAUGACGUCAAAUCAUCAUGCCCUUUAUGUCCUGGGCUACACACGUACUACAAUGGAUGUUACAAAGGGAAGCGAAGUAGUGAUAUGGAGCGAAACCCAAAAAGCAUCCCCAGUUCGGAUUGUAGGCUGAAAUUCGCCUACAUGAAGCCGGAAUUGCUAGUAAUGGCAGGUCAGCAUACUGCCGUGAAUACGUUCCCGGGCCUUGUACACACCGCCCGUCACACCAUGAGAGUUGGGGAUACCCGAAGCCUGUGAGCCAACAGUUAAAUGAGGCAGCAGUCGAAGGUAGAAUCAAUGAUUGGGGUG
rnacentral:rRNA from 1 species